rnacentral:lncRNA from 1 species
CUGCUGAACAGAUGUCUUAUUUCCCUUGUUCUUGUAGGCUGGGAGCCAUUUAUUGAGCCCUGGCCGUGUUCUAUAUCCUGGCAACAACAGGCAGCGAGCCGGCUCCAUCCUCCUCGCCUGAAGCUGGAGGCCAAGGCUAAACCCCGUUUGGAUGUCAACAUCACUUCUGUACUCAUUGACCAGUAUGUAAGUACCAAGGAAUCGUGGAUGGCGGAUUAUUGCCGAGAAGACAAGGAGCCAGAUUCGGCCCACUCAGAAGACUGGAUCGGCUCAUCAGUGGACCCGCCAUACUUUGGGCAAACAGAGGUGAAAACCCCUAAGCGCCGGCAGCCAUUUGUCCCCUUUGCUCUGAGGAACCACACGGGGUGCACUUUGUGGUUUGCCACCCUGACCACCACGCCCACCAGGUAAGAGUGCUCAAAACUGUCCCCAGGAUCAUCUCUGCCACUAAAGUCUUGCAGCAGCCCAGCCAAGUGUGCUGGGGCCCUUCCUGAGGCCUGUGAGCUUACAUUGGAAUCAGUAACUUGCUGCCGGCCUGACAUUGGUGGUGGAAGUUCUGAUUCUGUAUAGAAUCUGCAGUCAGAGAAGUAGGUCCUGUGUCUGAAGUAGUCAAACUAUGAUCUUGAUCCUGGUGUACAUUACAUUUAAAGCAUAAGGCAAACAGAUUAAGGAUGUUUGUAGGAAGUGUGAAAGAAAAGUCAUCCCAUUUCUUCUCCUUAGUUUCCAUAUGCCCUUCACUCUUUUUAAAGAAGCUAGAUGUGGUUAUUAAACUAAACAUUUUUGUAUUUUUCUUCCAUGACUUAUUUGAGAGCUUCUCCCUCCUCCUCCACCCCUAACAGAUUAUCUUCCAUUUCUAAAACACACUUCAACCCAGAUGGGACUGGGUGGAGUUUGGACAACAAGUGAGAGUUUACCUAAGCUAAAUAAAAACUUUUUCCGCCAACUCUCUGCCUGAGUAGAUCUUGGCUCAGUAUUCUAAAUACAUGGUAAUCUUAGGGCCUGAAGUUCAUGAAAUGGUCACAGAAUCAAUAGCAUUAAAACUGUAUUACCUCCACCUUCUCUAAGCCUGGUAAUGUCCUACAAGAGAAGUUAAGCUCCUUACUUAAAUUUUCUUUUAGAAAGUCAUGCCUUAGCAGGGGACGGUGCAUGGCUGUGAUGGCAGCACUCUGAUAGGCUGAAGUAGGAGUAUUGUAAAUUCGAGGCCACACUGGUCAGCUAAGUGACUAAGUGUCUCAAAAUAGGAAAUUAGAAAAGGGCUGGGGAUGUAGCUCAGUGUGAAGGCCGAGGUUCAGUUGCUAAUCCUGCAAAAAGAAAAAAUAAUGUCAUGAUGUCCAAAUAUCACACUCUACUGCUAGAGUAGUGAGUAGGUAGUGACAACUUUCAGCUAUUUCUAAAAAUUCAAGUAAGUUGUGGCUGAGCGUGAAGAUACCCAUAGUGACUGACCUUUUAAGUCAUCAUUUGUAGCGAGGUUGUGCGACCUUGUUUCUGCUCCGCAACACAAAGAUCUUCUGAGAGGGAGUGAGGAGAAGGAUGGACCAUGGGUAUCUUUCUCUUUCCUCUGCUUUGAUUGCAGGGCAGCGCUGUCUCACAGUGGGAGUCCAGGGGUGGUUCCGGAAGGGAAUGGGGCAUUUCUGGACGAUGGUCAUAAUGUUAGCGAGUGGCAAGAAGUCCUCACAGGUGAAGAGAUUCCCUUUGAAUUUGAAGCCAGAGGAAAGUUAAGACACAGGUAAAGUAUGGUUGUUUAUUCUUUUUCUUAAAAAUAAGAAAAUAAAUAUAAAUGAUUUCUCUAGUGUUUUGUCUUUUCACUUAAUGAUUUUAAAGUUUUAUUUUUAAAACAUUUUAAAAUCAGUGUUUCCUUUUAAAAAUAUAG